rfam:Tetrahymena thermophila SB210 genomic scaffold scf_8254007, whole genome shotgun sequence.
AUCCUUGUGGCGCAAUGGUAGCGCAGUGGCCUCCUAAGCCAAAGGUUGUGAGUUCGAAUCUCACCAAGGAUG